CCAGUUUCCAGUGGUAGAAGGCAGCUCUCAUCAACAGCAUGAGUGUGAACAAGCACAGCGGGAGCUGGACCUUAAUGUCCAUGCAUAAGAGGAAGGGAGUACUUUUGCAGCAACUCUUUAAAGAAAAAUAGAGAAGGCAUAUGAGCUUUGCUAACAACAUUUUGAGAUUUCAGAUAAUUUUAUAUGCAGUUUGUACUGACCAGUAGUACUGACUCUAUGAACGUAUUACUCAAAUUUCAAAGUAGUCAGUUUAAAAGUCCAGAAUUUAAACUAGAAAGAUUAGCAAAACUGGCAGCUAGUCAAGAUUAAGGCAAAUCAUAGUCUCAGCUCUUCAGGGAAUCAUGAACUUCAUAUAAUGGUGGUAGAGUAUCCACUUUCAACAACAAAAUACUGUACUUCUAUACAGGAUAUCUGAAAAAGCUUCUCACUACUGCAGAUAAAUUGCCUUGGGCAUGAAGAAGGCUUAAUAUUUUUUCUUUGUACUCUUAAGUUAUUUUUUUGAAUUUAAUGAAGAAAUUGGUUCUUCAGAAACUUAUCACAUGUUUUUUAUGUGUCUCUCCAAGACUCCAAGGUGGAACACUCUCAAAGGACCUUCUAAGUCACUCAUGCACAUGGAACUAGCUUUCAGGAAGGCUCUCACAUGAGCAAGAAGCAAACAACAGUAGCAGUCUGAGGACUGGAUUGGAUAAACCUCAGCAAACUCUUCACAAUAUUCCAAAUUUGAGGCCCAGAUAAGCAGCAAGUGUCCCAAGACAACAGGGUCAAGGAGUAACACCUACAGCUGUCAGAGGUCCUCCUGUAUGAAAUACCAGAGAAGUCUGGGAAUACUCUUCAUGAUAAAUUGCGGGAGGGAAGGCACUCAGCGUCUGUCAUGGCCAAGUUUUUUCACAGAAGUUUUUCACAGAGCUAUUAAUUUCAAGUACAGCUUUGCUUACUUAUCAUGAUACUUGUCAUCAUACAUGCCAGGUUCUUUUUUGCCAGGUUAGUUACUCAAACGUUUUUUAUACUCACGUUGAGUUAAAAAAGAAUAAUUGAAUAAUUCAAGUUCUCCUUCUUCCCAUUCUGUAAAUCUUUUUUUUUUUUUUUAACCUCAUG
ensembl:lncRNA